UUUACCUAUUUCUUUUUUUGUGUGUCUAUAAAUUGAUAAGAAUAUUCUGACCUCAUUGUUUUCACAGGUGAGCACAUAAUAUUUUCGCCAUUAAGGAUUGCUGACUUAAAUUCUCCACUUCAAUGGACAAAUUAUUGGAUGCCUCUUCCAAUUCAUCAGAAAUUUAGAAUUUUUUUUAGAUUCUUUCAAAAUCAAUCCAAUUUUAACAGCACGUAAGUGUGAUACUCCUCCUUUUACUGGAAUUUCCAAUAGGACACCGACGUCAAUCACAAUUAUGCUGUUUCUUCACCUGUACUUUGAGAUCCUGGCACGGAGCUCAUUAAAAAAUUGUUGGCUGUCGCCUGUCGAUCCUGAGAGGAGAGUGCCGCACUCCUCUGCGACCCUUUUCAAUAUCAAUACUAUCGUCAAUACUACUGUGGGAACUUCAGCGGAAAUUUCUCCAAGAGACUGUGCCCAUCCGUCACUGUGGUGUGAUACCAUCUGAGAAAUUCUACGUUUCGAAUAAGUUAUCUCGACUUCAAACUUUUGUCAAUUUUUUAUAGUCACCUGGAAUUUUUGUAAGAGCCAGCGGCAAGUACCGGUGACUAGACUUCCUACAAGGUGGAUCAUUAAGCUGAUACAUUCACUACGCAUCACAUUUAUUUUAUUGGUGCAUUUUGAGAAAUGGAUUUUCGUCUGGAAUUAGGCUUUGCUCAGUCUCCGCGAACAUAACUCUUCUUCGGGUGUGUAGUUGACGUUUGCCAAUGUCCAUUACAUCGUCAAACAACAUGAAGUGACCUCAAGCCGUUCAUUCCUCCAUUCAGUGCUAAAUUCGAAUGUGGCUCAAGCUUCCGCGUCCCAACUUGUGCACAUCCAAUUCUACGACAGCACGACUGUAGUGGAACUGACAACACAAUCAAAAGAAAAAUGCAAGGAUAAGUCGAUUUCCCAGUGUCACCAAACCCUCGUCCCGUAAAUUUAAACAUGGUGUUCCUCGACACAGGUCGGCUCCAAGGUCGGCUCAUCUUAUAGACUACCAACUCACUUUAGAAAUGCUACAAGCAAAUAUCAAGAGCUCGUUAUUGACUUGAAUUUUUAUUUGAUGUGUAGAUAUAAUAAUAUUGCACACUGCAUUUUUAUGGUAAUACAUUUUAACGAUGAA